AAAAAAAGAGAGCUCAACUGGGAGGAAGCAUGAGUAGAUAAAAAGCUCCUGCUGUUUGGGGCAAGGUCGGUGCUUAGGUGUCAAUAGGAAAGGAUGAGAUUUAUAAAUGGCAUUACCACCAUCCCACCCCACCCCACUCCCUAAAGGUUGUUCAACCUUUAGAAAUGAACCAGCACAUGCCUCCCCCAGGCUGGCCCAGAGGCGAGAUAGAUGUCUGGGACACUUUGGGGCACUGGCCUCCCCCUCCCAAGCUAUGUUCUCAGCCCAGUAUUUACAGUUCCUUAUGUCUACCUGCCUGCCUAAUGGGGUCAUUCACAUUCCUGUGACACCCCAACACUGACAACAGGAGGGUCUAACCUGGUAAAUGAACCUACUCUUCCCUCAAGUUGAAUCUGUAUCCAUGGGCACCACGGAAGCCAUCAAUUUAACUUUGAAAGCUCCUCAAUGCAUUGUAGGGGGUAAUCUCUCUCCUUAGCACAAAGAGACUUUCCCUCAUAUUUGCUUUUGCCUUAUUGUUUUUUAAUCCCUGGUAAGAAAGAAUUCUCUAAAGAUGGAGGAAGUAGAAAUAAUGGCAAUUGAGAUUAUAUUCCAUUUAUGGCCCCCAGGGAAAACAAUUCUAAUUUCUUUUAUUGUGAGGAGACUAAGAUAAAGUCUCAACUUCAGAGAGCUGUAAUUUACUAGAGGGAGAAAAUGCAAAACUCAGUCACAGCAAUUGGGUGGGAGACUAGGCCCCAAAGCUGAAAAUGAACAGUCGAUCUGGGGGAAGAUUUUUAAAUAAGUGGGUCAGAGGGACGGAGAGGAGAUGAGGCGAUCAAUCUUAGCCCCCUGACAGCUCCCUCCGAUUGCAUCAAAGAAUUUGGCUCUUUGGGAAAGCAGAAGGAGCAGCCUAAAUUCCACAUCCCUUAAAAAGGCCUGAGGGAGGGGGUGGCAAAAGAGAAAGGUGAUUCUGGGAGAGCCAGGAAACAGAUGGGAAAUGGGGACAGAGGGAAGGCGCUAACUUGGGUGGAAAGUUUGCCUGGAGAACUCCCACGGCUCUGGCCUCCCCUCCCCCUCCUCGCUCUGGCUGCCCAGCUCAGAGGAGAAGGCUGGUUAGCACAGAAAUGGCAACUCAGCGGAGAGCUGGAACUAGAAACUUUCUGUCAGUGUAACGUCCGCGUGGGUGGUGGAGAGUGAGAGGGGGGAAAAAAAUCAAGAUUGGGGGAAUUACCCACAGAGAUGGAAGGUAAGUUGGUUGGUUGGUGAUAGCCAAGCCAUGUCUUGUUUUGUUUUGAAUGUGCUUCUCUGCCUUGUUUACCAACCUCAGCUCCCUCUACUCCACUCUCUCUCCAACCUGGAAUUCCAACUUGGUAGUGCUGGAGCCCUGGGAUUGAUAGGGUCCUCUCUAACCAGCUGUGGAUGCCUUUCCAAGGGGUUGGCAAGCACAUGGAACCAGGGGUGAAGGACUUAAAGACAAUCCCUCUGGCCAGGGAGGAGAGAGGAACCCCAGGCCUGUUCUGCGCUGGAAACCUCGCCUUUCAGGCCUCCAAGCUGCUGCACCCCAACGGACCCACAAAGCAUCACAGCCUCCCUGGUCCUUGACCUCAUCGCCCCCCCACGCCCCUCCCAUCACAGCUCCACCAGCUGCGCGCUGGUAUACGCUGUCCUCGCGCGCUUGGACGCCGCCGACCCCGGGGGGCUCUUGUCCCCUCCCCCGCCGCCGCCGCCGCCCCCGCCGCCGCUGCCUCCGCCCCC